GGCAUGGUUACAUGAUUACUUUUCAUCCACUAAAGCUCACAUUUCAGGUGCAUCUCCCUCACAGAAUGAAACAGCGGAGCACGCAGUGUUGCCACCAAUGUCCCACUGACAGAUAAGGGACCAGAGGAAGACAGCUGCUGGGAUUCGGACGCAGAUAGAUGGCCUUGGGAGCCUGGGUUCUCACCCACUACUCUAAACCCAGGGAUUUCGAGAAAGGGGGAUGUUUCUGGCUGCUGGAAUCGGGGAAUGAACGGCAUUGCAGCUGAGCUUAGGGCUGGGGAGUUUCCCCCUGGAGAUGGAGGAAGUGUCUUCCGUGCCUUGAAUGGGUGGAGCCUGGUGGACAAAGAGGAGAGGGAGUCAAAUUUCACCAGCCUCUGAUGCAGAGCUCCAGCUCAGGAUCCUGAGAUCAUGACGGAGAUGAAAUCAAGAGCCUUUAAGACAUUUCUGAUGUGAGUUUUGAAGGACUGGGGGGAUUUUGAUUCAUUUGCAAGUGGCCA